AUGGGGGCGUCGGUCGCCGUGUUUUUUUUUUUUUGGAGGGCGCUCGCCAUGCUCUGCGUUGUGCUUGUGCAGGCUGAUGAUUGUAGCCCAACUCUUCGAGUUGCCAGAUGCAGCCCGAUCCAGAAUGGGAGCAGAAUAACGCAGAACCUGCGCCAUGCUGCGAAGAAAGGUGGCCCGGAAGGCAGCCCGAUAUUGUGUAGUUUAUCUUUACUAGCAAGAUGCCCAUGCGUUACACAGAAUAUUGAUGAACAAGGGAAGGACUUAUCUGCAAAUGUGGAGAGGAGUGCAGAUAUUUUUUUGCAAAAUUGUCAUAUUUUCCUUCCUAACCGUCAGAUAUAG
rnacentral:rRNA from 1 species